CCCGGCCCCGCCCCCGGUCGGCCGCGCGGCGCCCCUUGACCCCGCCCCGGUCCCGCCCCGCCGGCCGCGUCCUCCCGUGACCCUGCCGCCGGCCGGCCGCCGAGCGCCCCAAGUUUUCAGGGCGUGGGGGGCCGGGGGCACCUGGGGAUCAGGCCCUGGCAGGGACCCAGACUUGGCACCCACCCCUCCCUGCCCACACGACCCGGACCCUCACACUGAGACUGGCUGCGGCUGGCAGGGACUCCAAAAUUCAGGUGGCAGGUUUCUCAAGAACUUCUUCCCUAGACUGACCUACUGAUGCCAGGAGUCCUACAUCUUCAUUAGAGGGAUGGGGGGCAUGCUCGCCCCAGGGCCACCCUGCCUCCUGCUGAAGGAACCCUCACCUCCAUGAAGGUCAACUUCUAACUAAUGCUUACAAUUCACUCUUCAACGGCUUCUCCUGCAUAUCACACAGCCCCCAAUUUUUCCCCUCACUAAAUCCUUUUUAGUAAAAGAGCAAUAAUUCGUUUUUCAUUUCCUAGAACUGUGUUAGAGACCUUGGCACAUAGGAAGCAGUCAGCAAUUUCAAAAAGUUUGUUGAAUGUGUUGAUUUCUACUAGUAUGUAAAGACGUGUCCAGUAGGUAAGUUACUAUGAAAAAUUCUUGCCUUCAGCUAUCUCAGGGAACGAUUAAAAUAUCAUGGUAGUAUUGUGUAUGUGCCACUUAAUUCUUCCUUUACCCAGAAUGUGUCAGGAUAGUGGGAAAAUAGGGGCACUUUUCUUAAUUUUGCUAACUCUCCCAGACUUGUUAUUUAAUUCCACAUACACAUUAGCUCAUGCUUACCACAACCGUCAUCGUCCUAAUUUUCCUUUAGGUUAUGCUCAAACAGCCAGUAACCACUGUUGAUGUCAUUUGACUUUAUUGAAAAUUAGUCACAGUCGUUCAUUUUUUUAAGGUGAAUCCUUGAAAAAGUUUUGGACUUUGUUUUUAAACUUGUGCCUCAUUUGAUGCGUGAAGCACGCACUUCCCCGAGGCUCCUGGCACUGAGGUUACGAGCUUGAUGCUUGGGGGCUGUUUACGGGCCUGAAAGCUGCCCAGACUCACUCGGUCUGUCGGUGCUCACGUAUCAUUAGUGAUAAUGAGACUUAGCUUGGGAGCGACCGUCUUCAAAGCAGGUGAGCAACACGGUGGCGACUGCCCUGCGCCGGUGACCUCUGUCUAGAGACCAUGAUGACAUUGAGAUGGUUUCGCUCUCACCUGGACAAGUGCCCAUCCCCCGCCAUCCCCCGCCAU